rnacentral:rRNA from 1 species
UACGUAGGUGGCGAGCGUUAUCCGGAAUGAUUGGGCGUAAAGGGUGCGUAGGUGGCAGGUCAAGUCUGGAGUAAAAGGUAUGGGCUCAACCCGUACUGGCUCUGGAAACUGAUCAGCUAGAGAACAGAAGAGGACGGCGGAACUCCAUGUGUAGCGGUAAAAUGCGUAGAUAUAUGGAAGAACACCGGUGGCGAAGGCGGCCGUCUGGUCUGGAUUCUGACACUGAAGCACGAAAGCGUGGGGAGCAAAUAGG